rnacentral:rRNA from 1 species
UUAAGCGACUAAGCGUACACGGUGGAUGCCCUGGCAGUCAGAGGCGAUGAAGGACGUGCUAAUCUGCGAAAAGCGCCGGCGAGGUGAUAUGAACCCUUGACCCGGCGAUGUCCGAAUGGGGAAACCCAGUGCAAUCCGUUGCACUAUCGUUAACUGAAUACAUAGGUUAACGAGGCGAACCGGGGGAACUGAAACAUCUAAGUACCCCGAGGAAAAGAAAUCAACCGAGAUUCCCCCAGUAGCGGCGAGCGAACGGGGAGCAGCCCGGAGUCUGAAUCAGCUUGUGUGUUAGUGGAACGGUCUGGAAAGUCCGACGGUACAGGGUGAUAGUCCCGUACACGAAAGCACACUUGCUGUGAACUCGAAGAGUAGGGCGGGACACGUGGUAUCCUGUCUGAAUAUGGGGGGACCAUCCUCCAAGGCUAAAUACUCCUGACUGACCGAUAGUGAACCAGUACCGUGAGGGAAAGGCGAAAAGAACCCCGGCGAGGGGAGUGAAAAAGAACCUGAAACCGUGUACGUACAAGCAGUGGGAGCCUCUUUAUGGGGUGACUGCGUACCUUUUGUAUAAUGGGUCAGCGACUUAUAUUCUGUAGCAAGGUUAACCGUAUAGGGGAGCCGAAGGGAAACCGAGUCUUAACUGGGCGUUAAGUUGCAGGGUAUAGACCCGAAACCCGGUGAUCUAGCCAUGGGCAGGUUGAAGGUUGGGUAACACUAACUGGAGGACCGAACCGACUAAUGUUGAAAAAUUAGCGGAUGACCUGUGGCUGGGGGUGAAAGGCCAAUCAAACCGGGAGAUAGCUGGUUCUCCCCGAAAGCUAUUUAGGUAGCGCCUCGUGAACUCAUCUUCGGGGGUAGAGCACUGUUUCGGCUAGGGGGCCAUCCCGGCUUACCAACCCGAUGCAAACUACGAAUACCGAAGAAUGUUAUCACGGGAGACACACGGCGGGUGCUAACGUCCGUCGUGAAGAGGGAAACAACCCAGACCGCCAGCUAAGGUCCCAAAGUCAUGGUUAAGUGGGAAACGAUGUGGGAAGGCACAGACAGCCAGGAUGUUGGCUUAGAAGCAGCCAUCAUUUAAAGAAAGCGUAAUAGCUCACUGGUCGAGUCGGCCUGCGCGGAAGAUGUAACGGGGCUAAACCAUGCACCGAAGCUGCGGCAGCGACACUAUGUGUUGUUGGGUAGGGGAGCGUUCUGUAAGCCGUUGAAGGUGUGCUGUGAGGCAUGCUGGAGGUAUCAGAAGUGCGAAUGCUGACAUAAGUAACGAUAAAGCGGGUGAAAAGCCCGCUCGCCGGAAGACCAAGGGUUCCUGUCCAACGUUAAUCGGGGCAGGGUGAGUCGACCCCUAAGGCGAGGCCGAAAGGCGUAGUCGAUGGGAAACAGGUUAAUAUUCCUGUACUUGGUGUUACUGCGAAGGGGGGACGGAGAAGGCUAUGUCAGCCGGGCGACGGUUGUCCCGGUUUAAGCAUGUAGGCGGAGGUUCCAGGUAAAUCCGGUACCUUAUUAACGCUGAGGUGUGAUGACGAGGCACUACGGUGCUGAAGUGAUAAAUGCCCUGCUUCCAGGAAAAGCCUCUAAGCAUCAGGUAACACGAAAUCGUACCCCAAACCGACACAGGUGGUCAGGUAGAGAAUACCAAGGCGCUUGAGAGAACUCGGGUGAAGGAACUAGGCAAAAUGGUGCCGUAACUUCGGGAGAAGGCACGCUGAUGUGUAGGUGAAGCCCCUGCGGGCGGAGCUGAAAUCAGUCGAAGAUACCAGCUGGCUGCAACUGUUUAUUAAAAACACAGCACUGUGCAAACACGAAAGUGGACGUAUACGGUGUGACGCCUGCCCGGUGCCGGAAGGUUAAUUGAUGGGGUUAGCGGCAACGCGAAGCUCUUGAUCGAAGCCCCGGUAAACGGCGGCCGUAACUAUAACGGUCCUAAGGUAGCGAAAUUCCUUGUCGGGUAAGUUCCGACCUGCACGAAUGGCGUAAUGAUGGCCAGGCUGUCUCCACCCGAGACUCAGUGAAAUUGAACUCGCUGUGAAGAUGCAGUGUACCCGCGGCAAGACGGAAAGACCCCGUGAACCUUUACUAUAGCUUGACACUGAACACUGGUCCUUGAUGUGUAGGAUAGGUGGGAGGCUUUGAAGCGUGGACGCCAGUCUGCGUGGAGCCAACCUUGAAAUACCACCCUUUAAUGGCUGGUGUUCUAACGUAGACCCGUAAUCCGGGUUGCGGACAGUGUCUGGUGGGUAGUUUGACUGGGGCGGUCUCCUCCCAAAGAGUAACGGAGGAGCACGAAGGUUGGCUAAUCCUGGUCGGACAUCAGGAGGUUAGUGCAAUGGCAUAAGCCAGCUUGACUGCGAGCGUGACGGCGCGAGCAGGUGCGAAAGCAGGUCAUAGUGAUCCGGUGGUUCUGAAUGGAAGGGCCAUCGCUCAACGGAUAAAAGGUACUCCGGGGAUAACAGGCUGAUACCGCCCAAGAGUUCAUAUCGACGGCGGUGUUUGGCACCUCGAUGUCGGCUCAUCACAUCCUGGGGCUGAAGUAGGUCCCAAGGGUAUGGCUGUUCGCCAUUUAAAGUGGUACGCGAGCUGGGUUUAGAACGUCGUGAGACAGUUCGGUCCCUAUCUGCCGUGGGCGCUGGAGAAUUGAGGGGGGCUGCUCCUAGUACGAGAGGACCGGAGUGGACGCAUCACUGGUGUUCGGGUUGUCAUGCCAAUGGCACUGCCCGGUAGCUAAAUGCGGAAGAGAUAAGUGCUGAAAGCAUCUAAGCACGAAACUUGCCCCGAGAUGAGUUCUCCCUGAGACCUUGAGUCUCCUGAAGGAACGUUGAAGACGACGACGUUGAUAGGUCGGGUGUGUAAGCGCAGCGAUGCGUUGAGCUAACCGAUACUAAUGAACCGUGAGGCUUAACCUU